rnacentral:rRNA from 1 species
CCGGCACGGGUGAGUAACACGUAUCCAACCUGCCGUCUACUCUUGGACAGCCUUCUGAAAGGAAGAUUAAUACAAGAUGGCAUCAUGAGUCCGCAUGUUCACAUGAUUAAAGGUAUUCCGGUAGACGAUGGGGAUGCGUUCCAUUAGAUAGUAGGCGGGGUAACGGCCCACCUAGUCUUCGAUGGAUAGGGGUUCUGAGAGGAAGGUCCCCCACAUUGGGACUGAGACACGGUCCAA